GUCCACACCCUAAACGAUGAAUACUAGAUGUUGGUCCUUUUAGGAUCAGUAUCCAAGCUAACGCAUUAAGUAUUCCACCUGGGAAGUACAAUCGCAAGGUUGAAACUCAAAGGAAUUGACGGGGACCCGCACAAGCAGCGGAGCAUGUUGUUUAAUUCGAUGCGACGCGAAGAACCUUACCUGGGCUUGACAUGCGCCUGUAAUCUCGGGAAACCGAGCCCCUCUUCGGAGCGGGUGCACAGGUGGUGCAUGGCUGUCGU
rnacentral:rRNA from 1 species